rnacentral:lncRNA from 1 species
CGGUUUUUUUUCUUUCUUUGGGCUUCACACGGUCCUCGGAUUGCUCCUUAGUUUCUGACGCUACCCCGACAUCAUCAGUUUCUUAUUGUGUAAGAGGGGUCACCUUGAGUGGUCUAGUAUAGACCACUAUCACCAAUGAGUUGUGGUACUUCUCACUAGACACCUCUGUAGCUUCCGUCGGUAUAGCUCAAUCUCGUUCCAG